rnacentral:rRNA from 1 species
UACGUAGGGUGCAAGCGUUGUCCGGAAUUAUUGGGCGUAAAGAGCUUGUAGGCGGUUUGUCGCGUCUGCUGUGAAAACCCGAGGCUCAACCUCGGGCCUGCAGUGGGUACGGGCAGACUGGAGUGCGGUAGGGGAGAUUGGAAUUCCUGGUGUAGCGGUGGAAUGCGCAGAUAUCAGGAGGAACACCAAUGGCGAAGGCAGAUCUCUGGGCCGUAACUGACGCUGAGGAGCGAAAGCAUGGGGAGCGAACA